UUUGCAACUGCUUGAAGCCGU
rnacentral:piRNA from 1 species